AGUGAACGCUGGCGGUAGGCCUAACACAUGCAAGUCGAACGGCAGCACAGUAAGAGCUCGCUCUUACGGGUGGCGAGUGGCGGACGGGUGAGGAAUACAUCGGCAUCUACUUUUUCGUGGGGGAUAACGUAGGGAAACUUACGCUAAUACCGCAUACGACCUACGGGUGAAAGCAGGGGAUCUUCGGACCUUGCGCGAUUGAAUGAGCCGAUGUCGGAUUAGCUAGUUGGCGGGGUAAAGGCCCACCAAGGCGACGAUCCGUAGCUGGUCUGAGAGGAUGAUCAGCCACACUGGAACUGAGACACGGUCCAGACUCCUACGGGAGGCGGCAGUGGGGAAUAUUGGACAAUGGGCGCAAGCCUGAUCCAGCCAUACCGCGUGGGUGAAGAAGGCUUUCGGGUUGUAAAGCCCUUUUGUUGGGAAAGAAAAUCAGCAGGUUAAUACCCCGCUGUUCUGACGGUACCCAAAGAGUAAGCACCGGCUAACUUCGUG
rnacentral:rRNA from 1 species